GACGAACGCUGGCGGCGUGCUUAACACAUGCAAGUCGAACGGUGAAGCUCCAGCUUGCUGGAGUGGAUCAGUGGCGAACGGGUGAGUAACACGUGAGUAACCUGCCCCUGACUCUGGAAUAAGCGCUGGAAACGGCGUCUAAUACUGGAUACGAGAAGGGUCCGCAUGGGCACUUUCUGGAAAGUUUUUCGGUUGGGGAUGGGCUCGCGGCCUAUCAGCUUGUUGGUGAGGUAAUGGCUCACCAAGGCGACGACGGGUAGCCGGCCUGAGAGGGCGACCGGCCACACUGGGACUGAGACACGGCCCAGACUCCUACGGGAGGCAGCAGUGGGGAAUAUUGCACAAUGGGCGAAAGCCUGAUGCAGCGACGCCGCGUGAGGGAUGACGGCCUUCGGGUUGUAAACCUCUUUCAGCAGGGAAGAAGCGAAAGUGACGGUACCUGCAGAAGAAGCACCGGCUAACUACGAG
rnacentral:rRNA from 1 species